rnacentral:rRNA from 1 species
AAGAGACAGCAGCAGCCGCGGUAAUACCGAGGGUGCAAGCGUUAAUCGGAAUUACUGGGCGUAAAGCGCGCGUAGGUGGUUUGUUAAGUUGGAUGUGAAAUCCCCGGGCUCAACCUGGGAACUGCAUUCAAAACUGACUGACUAGAGUAUGGUAGAGGGUGGUGGAAUUUCCUGUGUAGCGGUGAAAUGCGUAGAUAUAGGAAGGAACACCAGUGGCGAAGGCGACCACCUGGACUAAUACUGACACUGAGGUGCGAAAGCGUGGGGAGCAAACAGGAUUAGAUACCCCGGUAGUCCCUGUCUCUUAUAC